AGGGCUUGGUCUGAUCGAGAAGAAACGGACAUGUAUAGAUAUUCAAGUGAAGAAUGAUAACCUUUAUAUAGGUGUAGAUACACCGUCUUACAGAGAGUAAACACGCCUUUAAUGUCAGAUCGUGCUUCACAUUGAUCUGUAACUCUCAGUUUUUCAACUGAUUAGAAGAGGAAACGGAACAACGCAGAAGAACUCUUUUUUGGUGUUAAGAAGAGGCCAAACCUUAAAACAGCAUGUUGUUCAUAAACAAUAUAUGGGCUUCUGGGUAUCAGGCUUAACUCGGUAAUCAAAACAAACAAUGGAAUGCAGGAGCCCAAUGUCUCAUUAAUGAAACGCAGUGUAUUGCAAGAAGGGAGAUAUGUCGGGCUCUUGUGAGCCGAAUUUGUGACGUGUCUGCUGAUGUUGAGGGCCCUAGAGAGAAGGAACUCUACUUUAUAUGAUAAAAGAUAUAUAGAUAGAUAAUAAAUUUGUUUUCGUUCAUUUUGUUAAAGAUCCUUAAUAAAUCCGGAUUUUCUGCAUAAAAACGUCGAGGCAGUUUUUUUGC
rnacentral:lncRNA from 1 species